UUAUAUGGAUGAGCAAAGAAAGUGGUUUCUUGAGAUGGAAUCUACUCCUGCUGAAGAGGCUGUGAA
rnacentral:pre_miRNA from 3 species